UACGGAGGGGGCGAGCGUUAUUCGGAAUUAUUGGGCGUAAAGGGCGCGUAGGCGGUUUCAUAAGUCACAGGUGAAAUCCCUCGGCUCAACUGAGGAACUGCCUUUGAAACUGUGGAGCUUGAGGCCGGGAGGGGGUAGCGGAAUUCCCAGUGUAGCGGUGAAAUGCGUAGAUAUUGGGAGGAACACCAGUGGCGAAGGCGGCUACCUGGACCGGUACUGACGCUGAUGCGCGAAAGCGUGGGGAGCAAACAGG
rnacentral:rRNA from 1 species